rnacentral:tRNA from 1 species
GGCGAGAUAGCUCAGUCGGUAGAGCAGAGGACUGAAAAUCCUUGUGUCCCCAGUUCGAUUCUGGGUCUCGCCACCA